CCCUACCACUAUAGAAUUAGUAGAGAUUUCUUCUACAAAAGCCUCCUCCGCAUAGGCAUACUUCUCUGCACAUGCAAGCAUGUCUGGAAAGCCUUGAAGAUAAGUCUUAGUCAAUGACUUUUUUAAGUCAUUCUUUAGUAGGCCGCCCAUCAUUGCAGCCAUCACGGUCGACUGAUCUAGAUUACAGACUUUCGAGGUCACCAUGUUGAAACAGUUAACAUAGGCGU
rnacentral:lncRNA from 1 species